GUGGGGAAUCUUGCGCAAUGGGCGAAAGCCUGACGCAGCCAUGCCGCGUGAAUGAUGAAGGUCUUAGGAUUGUAAAAUCCUUUCACCGGUGAAGAUAAUGACUGUAGCCGGAGAAGAAGCCCCGGCUAACUUCGUGCCAGCAGCCGCGGUAAUACGAAGGGGGCUAGCGUUGCUCGGAUUUACUGGGCGUAAAGGGCGCGUAGGCGGACAUUUAAGUCAGGGGUGAAAUCCCGGGGCUCAACCUCGGAACUGCCUUUGAUACUGGGUGUCUUGAGUAUGAGAGAGGUGUGUGGAACUCCGAGUGUAGAGGUGAAAUUCGUAGAUAUUCGGAAGAACACCAGUGGCGAAGGCGACACACUGGCUCAUUACUGACGCUGAGGCGCGAAAGCGUGGGGAGCAAACAGGAUUAGAUACCCCGGUAGUCC
rnacentral:rRNA from 1 species